rnacentral:rRNA from 1 species
UAAUACGGGGGGGACAAGCGUUGUUCGGAUUUACUGGGCGUAAAGGGCGCGUAGGCGGUCCUUCAAGUCGGAUGUGAAAACCGGCGGCUUAACCGCCGGCCUGCACUCGAUACUGUUGGUCUUGAGUACAGGAGAGGAGAGCGGAAUUCCAGGCGUAGCGGUGAAAUGCGUAGAUUUCUGGAAGAACACCUGUAGCGAAGGCGGCUCUCUGGCCUGAUACUGACGCUGAAGCGCGAAGGCUUGGGUAGCAAACAGGAUUAGAUACCCUGGUAGUCCAAGCGGUAAACGAUGGGUACUAGGUGUCGGGGGUAUCGGCCCCCUCGGUGCCGCAGCUAACGCAUUAAGUACCCCGCCUGGGGAGUACGGUCGCAAGAUUG